rnacentral:rRNA from 1 species
GAGAGGAUGAUCAGCCACACUGGAACUGAGACACGGUCCAGACUCCUACGGGAGGCAGCAGUGGGGAAUAUUGCACAAUGGGCGCAAGCCUGAUGCAGCCAUGCCGCGUGUAUGAAGAAGGCCUUCGGGUUGUAAAGUACUUUCAGCAGUGAGGAAGGUGGUAGUGUUAAUAGCACUAUCAUUUGACGUUAGCUGCAGAAGAAGCACCGGCUAACUCCGUGCCAGCAGCCGCGGUAAUACGGAGGGUGCGAGCGUUAAUCGGAAUUACUGGGCGUAAAGCGCAUGCAGGUGGUUUGUUAAGUCAGAUGUGAAAGCCCGGGGCUCAACCUCGGAAAUUGCAUUUGAAACUGGCAGACUAGAGUACUGUAGAGGGGGGUAGAAUUUCAGGUGUAGCGGUGAAAUGCGUAGAGAUCUGAAGGAAUACCGGUGGCGAAGGCGGCCCCCUGGACAGAUACUGACACUCAGAUGCGAAAGCGUGGGGAGCAAACAGGAUUAGAUACCCUGGUAGUCCACGCCGUAAACGAUGUCUACUUGGAGGUUGUGGCCUUGAGCCGUGGCUUUCGGAGCUAACGCGUUAAGUAGACCGCCUGGGGGAGUACGGUCGCAAGAUUAAAACUCAAAUGAAUUGACGGGGGCCCGCACAAGCGGUGGAGCAUGUGGUUUAAUUCGAUGCAACGCGAAGAACCUUACCUACUCUUGACAUCCUCAGAACUKACCGGAGACRGUYUGGUGCCUUCGGGAACUGAGAGACAGGUGCUGCAUGGCUGUCGUCAGCUCGUGUUGUGAAAUGUUGGGUUAAGUCCCGCAACGAGCGCAACCCUUAUCCUUGUUUGCCAGCGAGUAAUGUCGGGAACUCCAGGGAGACUGCCGGUGAUAAACCGGNAGGAAGGUGGGGACGACGUCAAGUCAUCAUGGCCCUUACGAGUAGGGCUACACACGUGCUACAAUGGCGCAUACAGAGGGCGGCCAACUUGCGAAARUGAGCGAAUCCCAAAAAGUGCGUCGUAGUCCGGAUUGGAGUCUGCAACUCGACUCCAUGAAGUCGGAAUCGCUAGUAAUCGUAGAUCAGAAUGCUACGGUGAAUACGUUCCCGGGCCUUGUACACACCGCCCGUCACACCAUGGGAGUGGGCUGCAAAAGAAGUGGGUAGUUUAACCUUCGGGGGGACGCU